rnacentral:lncRNA from 13 species
ACCUAAGGAAGAAAACCUUAGAAGGGUUUUGUUUGGCAAGAUAUUGUCGGUAGUUUGCUAUUGCCUGCCGAGAGAUAUCCGGGAGUACUCACCGGCAUCCAGAUUUGUCGAGCGCCAGACAGUCACGCAGGAAAGAGCGAGCGAUCGCUCGUCUCGACGGUUCAACACGGAGUCCCGAGGAUCAAUCGGAUCGCGAUGUAUGUAAGAGAGAAAUGUGAGAUAGGACCUUCCGGAGGGAAAGAACACGUCC